rnacentral:rRNA from 1 species
GACGAACGCUGGCGGCGUGCCUAAUACAUGCAAGUCGAACGAGAGCACCCGGUGCUUGCACUGGUCAAUCUAGUGGCGAACGGGUGAGUAACACGUGGGUAACCUGCCCAUCAGAGGGGGAUAACAUCCGGAAACGGAUGCUAAAAUCGCAUAGGUCUUCGAACCGCAUGGUUUGAAGAGGAAAAGAGGCGCAAGCUUCUGCUGAUGGAUGGACCCGCGGUGCAUUAGCUAGUUGGUGAGGUAACGGCUCACCAAGGCCGUGAUGCAUAGCCGACCUGAGAGGGUGAUCGGCCACAUUGGGACUGAGACACGGCCCAAACUCCUACGGGAGGCAGCAGUAGGGAAUCUUCCGCAAUGGACGCAAGUCUGACGGAGCAACGCCGCGUGAGUGAAGAAGGUUUUCGGAUCGUAAAACUCUGUUGUUAGAGAAGAACAAGUGCUAGAGUAACUGUUAGCGCCUUGACGGUAUCUAACCAGAAAGCCACGGCUAACUACGUG